rnacentral:rRNA from 1 species
UACGUAGGUGGCAAGCGUUGUCCGGAUUGACUGGGCGUAAAGCGCACGCAGGCGGUCGUGCACGUGGGGUGUGAAAACUGGCGGCUUAACUGCCAGAGGCCACCUCAUACGGCGCGACUCGAGCCCGUGAGAGGUCCAUGGAAUUGCCGGUGUAGUGGUGAAAUGCGUAGAGAUCGGCAGGAACACCCAGGGAGAAAUCAGUGGACUGGCACGGUGCUGACGCUCAGGUGCGAAAGCGUGGGGAGCGAACCGG